ensembl:snRNA U2 U2 spliceosomal RNA
AUUGCUUCUCGGCCUUUUGGCUAAGAUCAAGUGUAGUAUCUGCUCUUAUCAGUUUAAUAAGCUAUUGAGAGGAAACAGCUUAAUGUUUAAGUGAACUUAAUUAUCUUACAACACUGGAAAUAUUUAGAUAUUACAUUAUCAUUGGUUCUACUUCAUUGAAA